rnacentral:rRNA from 1 species
UACGGAGGGUGCAAGCGUUGUCCGGAUUUAUUGGGUUUAAAGGGUGCGUAGGCGGCCUUGUAAGUCAGUGGUGAAAGCCUCCAGCUCAACUGAAGAACUGCCAUUGAUACUGCAAGGCUUGAGUACAGACGAGGUUGGCGGAAUUGAUUGUGUAGCGGUGAAAUGCAUAGAUACAAUCAAGAACUCCGAUUGCGUAGGCAGCUAACUAGGCUGUAACUGACGCUGAGGCACGAAAGCGUGGGGAGCAAACAGG